UGCGUAGGGGGCAAGCGUUGUCCGGAAUCAUUGGGCGUAAAGAGCGCGUAGGCGGUCCGGUAAGUCCGCUCUGAAAGUCCGGGGCUCAACCCCGGGAGGCGGGCGGAUACUGUCGGGCUAGAGUCCGGAAGAGGCGAGUGGAAUUCCUGGUGUAGCGGUGAAAUGCGCAGAUACCAGGAGGAACACCCGUGGCUAAGGCGGCUCUCUAGUACGGUACUGACGCUGAGACGCGAAAGCGUGGGGAGCGAACAGG
rnacentral:rRNA from 1 species